GCGUAAGAGCUCGUAGGCGGUUUGUCGCGUCUGCCGUGAAAGUCCGGGGCUCAACUCCGGAUCUGCGGUGGGUACGGGCAGACUAGAGUGAUGUAGGGGAGACUGGAAUUCCUGGUGUAGCGGUGAAAUGCGCAGAUAUCAGGAGGAACACCGAUGGCGAAGGCAGGUCUCUGGGCAUUAACUGACGCUGAGGAGCGAAAGCAUGGGGAGCGAACAGGAUUAGAUACCCUGGUAGUCCAUGCCGUAAACGUUGGGCACUAGGUGUGGGGGACAUUCCACGUUUUCCGCGCCGUAGCUAACGCAUUAAGUGCCCCGCCUGGGGAGUACGGCCGCAAGGCUAAAACUCAAAGGAAUUGACGGGGGCCCGCACAAGCGGCGGAGCAUGCGGAUUAAUUCGAUGCAACGCGAAGAACCUUACCAAGGCUUGACAUGGACCGGACCGCCGCAGAAAUGUGGUUUCCCCUUUGGGGCUGGUUUACAGGUGGUGCAUGGUUGUCGUCAGCUCGUGUCGUGAGAUGUUGGGUUAAGUCCCGCAACGAGCGCAACCCUCGUUCUAUGUUGCCAGCACGUGAUGGUGGGGACUCAUAGGAGACUGCCGGGGUCAACUCGGAGGAAGGUGGGGACGACGUCAAAUCAUCAUGCCCCUUAUGUCUUGGGCUUCACGCAUGCUACAAUGGCCGGG
rnacentral:rRNA from 1 species